rnacentral:rRNA from 1 species
UAAUACGGAGGGUGCAAGCGUUAAUCGGAUUUAUUGGGCGUAAAGAGCACGUAGGCGGGGUGAAAAGUUAGAUGUGAAAGCUCGAGGCUCAACCUCGAAAACGCAUCUAAAACUCUCACUCUAGAGGAUGGAUGGAGAAAAGAGAAUUCCAAGUGUAGCGGUGGAAUGCGUAGAUAUUUGGAAGAAUACCGGUGGCGAAGGCGCUUUUCUAAUUCAUUCCUGACGCUGAGGUGCGAAAGCAAGGGUAGCAAACAGG